AUAAUACUCCCUCCGUUCCGAAUUACUUGUCGCAGGUAUGGAUGUAUCUAAAUGUAUUUUAGUUCUAGAUACAUCCAUUUCUGCGACGAGUAAUUUGGAACGGAGGGAGUAGUUA
rnacentral:pre_miRNA from 1 species